CAGUCGCCGCGGGAAUACGGAGGGGGCUAGCGUUGUUCGGAAUUACUGGGCGUAAAGCGCGCGUAGGCGGCUUUGUAAGUCAGAGGUGAAAGCCCGGAGCUCAACUUCGGAAUUGCCUUUGAGACUGCAUCGCUUGAAUCCGGGAGAGGUGAGUGGAAUUCCGAGUGUAGAGGUGAAAUUCGUAGAUAUUUGGAAGAACACCAGUGGCGAAGGCAGCCAUCUGGCCUAAUACUGACGCUGAGGUACGAAAGCAUGGGGAGCAAACAGGAUUAGAUACCCGCGUAGUCCCUGUCUCUUAUAC
rnacentral:rRNA from 1 species